rnacentral:misc_RNA from 1 species
CGCACAUCGCGCCCUUUGGCAUUCCGAGGGGCAUGCCUGUUCGAGCGUCAUUACACCACUCAAGCCUGGCUUGGUAUUGGGCGACGGGACGCACCCGCGCCUCAAUUUCACCGGCUGGACGACCCAAUUUUCGGCGUUGUGACAUCAAAUUCGCUGGCGAGGAGGGUGGUCUAUGCCGUUAAAUCUUUUUAUCAAGGUUGACCUCGGAUCAGGUAGGGAUACCCGCUGAACUUAA